rnacentral:rRNA from 1 species
AUUGGAGGAAAGCAGGGGAUCGCAAGACCUUGCGCUUUUGGAGCGGCCGAUGUCUGAUUAGCUAGUUGGUGAGGUAAAGGCUUACCAAGGCGUCGAUCAGUAGCUGGUCUGAGAGGACGACCAGCCACACUGGGACUGAGACACGGCCCAGACUCCUACGGGAGGCAGCAGUGGGGAAUUUUGGACAAUGGGGGAAACCCUGAUCCAGCCAUGCCGCGUGAGUGAAGAAGGCCUUCGGGUUGUAAAGCUCUUUCAGCCGGAACGAAACGGUCACAGCUAAUACCUGUGACUACUGACGGUACCGGAAGAAGAAGCACCGGCUAACUACGUGCCAGCAGCCGCGGUAAUACGUAGGGUGCGAGCGUUAAUCGGAAUUACUGGGCGUAAAGCGUGCGCAGGCGGUUUUGUAAGUCAGAUGUGAAAUCCCCGGGCUUAACCUGGGAACUGCGUUUGAAACUACAAGGCUAGAAU